rnacentral:rRNA from 1 species
UACAGAGGUCUCAAGCGUUGUUCGGAUUCAUUGGGCGUAAAGGGUGCGUAGGCGGCGCGGUAAGUCGGGUGUGAAAUCUUGGAGCUUAACUCCGAAACUGCAUUCGAUACUGCCGUGCUUGAGGACUGGAGAGGAGACUGGAAUUUACGGUGUAGCGGUGAAAUGCGUAGAUAUCAGGAGGAACACCGGUGGCGAAGGCGGGUCUCUGGGCCGAUACUGACGCUGGAGGAGCGAAAGCGUGGGGAGCGAACAGG